AUACGAAUUACUUGGAGAUCUUGCUAAAAUGCAGAUUCUGAUGCAAUAGGUCUGGGGUGGGGCCUGAGACUCUGCAUUUCUAACAAGUUCCCGGAUGAUGCUGGU
rnacentral:pre_miRNA from 1 species